UGAUAAAACAAUUAAACAUUUAGCAUUUUCUCAAGUUUUUGUUGUUUAAAAAAGCUAUAGAAGUGAAGACAUGAGAAAAAGGUCAUUGUGGUGGACUUUCAGUGAAGGAACCAAACUGUCUGUUGAAAAUAACGCUCUCCCUACUCUAACGGUCCUGCCUCCCUCCAGAGAUGAGUUGAAACAGGGUAAAGCUACAGUCAUGUGUGUUGGCAGUAAUGGUUUUCCCUCUGACUGGAAGCUGAACUGGAAGGUUGAUGGUAGCAGCAGGAGCUCUGGUGUGAAUCUGAGUCCCAGUGUACUGCUGAAGGAUGGACUGUACAGCUGGAGCAGCAGUCUGAGUCUCACUGACAGUGAAUGGAGAUCAGCAAAAACCAUCAGCUGUGAGGCCACACAGAGUUCCCAGAGUUCAGUCAUCAAAACCAUUGACACACAACAAUGUAAUGCAGAAUAAAACCACACAAUUUACAGAAUAGUAAAUCUUAAUAAAAAUAACAUGUUUUACUUUUUGCAGAGGUUAUGUUGCUUUGUAAUGUAUAGUUUAUUGUAGUGCAUAACAGCAGACUUUAUUAAUUUGCUGAUUCCUAUAUUUUGGUUGCAAAAAUAAAAUGCA